GACAUGAUGGAGCAGUUUCAAAGGACUCACAGGCUUUCUGUUCCUGAGACACUCCACAGACAGUUGUGUUCCAUGUUGUCUUCAGGCUCUGUGUCUGAUGAGGGUAUAAUGGAGGCCAUGGUGAGGUGCUGGGAGGAGAAUCAGUAUUUGGUGUGUCCUCAUACUGCUGUGGCUCUCUGGCAUCACUACCACUGCCCUGUCCUCCCCGAGCAAAAGAGUGAUUGAAUGAGAAAAGAAAAGAAGAGAGAAAAGUCAUGAAGAGAAGCAGAAAACACCGAAAGACAAAGCAGUCAACAGCUCCACAGGAGAUGAAGCAGGAGCGAGAGCUGAGCCCCCCACCCAGUCCCCCAGCCUGCGGGUGCAACUGCAUCCCUAAAAUGUUCCUGUUUCGCAAAAAGGGCAGGAAGCAGGAGAGGCAGAAAGAGGAGGAGCAGCUUCAGACAGAGAGGAGAGAAACGGAGCUGACUAAGAAGGAAACCACCCAGAAGAGAAAGAAGGAGAGGCAGAGGAAGAAUAUGGAGCAGGAGAAGGAUAAGGAGAUCAGGGAUCUGGAAGAGGCAGUGAGACUGCUCGAGGAGGAGAUUCAGGGAUUCAGAGAGAGAAAGAAAGAGCUGAAAAGAGAGCUGAAGACCCUGAAGAAGAAAAUAGCAGGAGUAGAGAUGGAGACUUCAAAAACCAGACAGACAAAGCAGGAAUGGAAGAAAGAGAUGGAAGCAAUGAAGGAAAGAAUGAUACAGGAAGAAAAACAGAGGGAGGAAAAGAGGACAGGACAAAGGGAGGUCAUCUGUAAAGAAAUAAUCAUUACUGUAGCCAAGACAGAAAGAGAAAUGGAAGAAAAGAAAGAAAAGCAGGAUGAUAGGAAGAUUGCUACAGUCAGUGAGAGGCAGGAAGUCGUAAAGGAGAAGAAGAGUGAAGAAGAGCUGCUUGAGGAAAUGGAGAAGCAGAGAGAGGAGGAACAGCUGAAAGAGAGGAGAGAGAGUCAGGAGGCAACAGAAAGCAGAAAAGAAGUUGUGAUCGAGAUAGAGAACCUACAGAUGGAGCCUGCAGCACCCAGCACGUCUAGGAAAAAUGUGGUGCAGAGAGUGCUGUCCAGUGUUCUGUCCAGUAUUCACUCUGGAGUUCAGUCCUUCAUAGAGUUCCGGAAAAAAUUCUCAAUUCAGCCUGUUCAAGAUGAGAAAGAGGAGCUUAAGGACAAGUCCCCAUCUCGUCCAUUGGUGCCACUCGGAGCUCCGACUGGGGUCCUGACUAUACGCAUAAGAAGCUGCAGAGACUUCAGGAAAAACACACGUAUACAGAAAGACACUCAGUGUAUGGUGAGGAUCACUGUUGGGAGAAUGGUGAAGUGCUCCAGACUGCAGCCCUUCGAAGACAACCUGACCUUCAAUGAAGUGAAACACUUCUCCAUACAGAUCCAAAAAGAAGGGGCUCUAGGGGUCCAGGAGUCCAGCUCAGUGAAGGUGGAUUUAAUCUCUUUUGGUGGUGAUUCAGCUGCCCCCAAACUCAUGGGCAGCACCACCAUCAAGCUGCAGGAAGUCCUUUUUCAGAAAUCAUCGGUUAGCCAGCAGAUUGAUUUGAGGCUUGGAAACAAAAAAGUGUGCAAGUUGGAUGCAGACCUGACUUUUACAUACGGGUCCUUUGGCUAUGGGUACUCUCACCAGAUGAAACAUCCUGGAAGAAAGAUGAAGAAUCUGGUGGAGGAGUCCCUCUUUCUCCGCUGCCCACCUCCUGAGGACAGAAGAGAUCCACACUACAAUGUGACGACCCCUUGCAGACCAUCCUCGGUCAACAUCAUGUCAUCUCUGAUACAGCGAGACGCACAGAGAGACAAUAAAUGCAGAAUAUCAGCUGGCAUAAUGAACUGCAUGGAGAGGAGAGGCAGGUUGUCACAGCUUCAUAAAGACUUGGAGGACUGUGAGACAGGAGAGGAUAGGGUGCAGUUACUGGAGAGUUUGAUCUUGAAGACAGGAACUCGCACCAGCUCUCCCUGUAAAACGAACCAGAGCACAGAGAUCCGGUCUGAAGAGGCGGAAGAAAGGAGAAGAGAGGAGAAUAGUGAAGAUGGAAAGGCAGAGGAGACAGUUAAAAAAGGAAAAGCAAAAUGUAAGAACACAAAAUGACCAGCCUACGACUGACUGCUGGUGAAUCCUCCUGAGCCUCAUAUACAGUACAGAAUGGAAUGUGGUGUCUGAAGCUCAGAUGAUGAUGAGCCCCAAUUUUCACAGCUGCCCAGCCAGAUUUCCAGUCUCCUGCUCUGAUGGUCUCCCCAGUCUCCAGCUCAGCCAGAAUCACAGUCUCUCUUCCUGCAUUGGCUCUCAUCAGCAACAGCACCAUCCUGUUUUCCGCCUACUCAACAUUCCACACACCUGCAGCUGAAUCAAAAACUCAUUUACGAGAUAACAAAUACCUCUAGCUUUGGUCUCGUCUUUUGCAAAAUCUUGUAAUUCUCAUGUUCAACUUUCUCAGUGUUUACAGUUCUUCGUUUUUCUGUGAUUUGGCCCCUGCUGUUUUCAGAUUAUGGAUUUUUCUUGUCUGCCUGCCUGCCUGUGGACUGACCACUGCCUGUGCCCAUGACAAUGAGUACUGGAAGCCCCAUUGAAGCUGGUCAACACAUGUGGCCUGCCUACACUUCUAGUUUACAGAUGGCACUGAUCCAGUACCAGGGCUGUCUAACAUGGCGGUGGAAGCACUUCCUAACACAGCAGCAGGUUCUCUCUUGGAGCCUGAUGACUCGGCUUUGUCACUGGACGUCUCCCGUUUCUUGCAGAGCCUGACUGAUCGAAGUCUUUUACAGAAAGAAGAGUCAGUAUUGAAUCGUAAAGAUUGUGACCACCGUAUCGCACAAAAUCAUCAUUCCAAAGCUUGGAGAGGUCCUGAACAUGGACUCUCAGACGCUUUUCUUUGCAAGACCAGGAUCUUCAUGUCAUUCUUUGCAGUCGGUCACCAAAGAUGUAGUCAAUGCCUUUGUGAAGACUAUCGGUGGCUCUCUUGAUGAAAAGGAGGAUUCUCACAUGGUUGAGCUCCUUAGCAAUGUGAUGGAAAUGGUUGAGCUCCUGGCAUCCAAACAUAGGUCAGUCGAGCGCCUUCAUUCGUCACUGCCUGUUGAGCUGAGGACCGAGAAACCCAAGAAACUGACGUUUGAAGAUCACUCACUUCAGGAAUGUGCUAAAGAGGUGAUACGAGAGAUCUUCUCCAUCAAUGAAGCUAAAGAACUCAAGAGGGAAAGUGUGACAGAUCUGACUUACCCUCCCAAGAUGUGCAUCACAAUCAGGGAGUUAGUUGAGUGAGGACUCUCGAAACAAGGCAGCUCAGGAAGUGAGUCAAAUCCUACUGAAGUCUUCAGAGAGCUGCCUUGUUAGUUCUUUCCAUUUGCUCACGAGUGCUCACACCAGCCAGACAGAUUCCAGUGUGAAACCAACUCCGUCUGAAUGCUCAGUAAAGGCAUUUGCAAUCGUCGAUUCUGUCAUUGAUGGAAUUUGCACAUAUUUUGCGCAAGAGCCUAUACUUCCAUCUCAAGAUGCCAAAAAUCAACAUCUUCAAAAAGAGAUCCAAAAAGGACAAUAAUGCCAGAUCUCAUACUUCAGAUCAGGACCGUUUGCAGAGUCGUCGCACUGCUGAUAUGAGUGGAGCCAACAGUGAGACUUCAAAAAAGGAGAAACCUUGGAGACCUUCCAUUUGCACCAGGAUGUUCUCCUGCUUCAGGAAAUGAGCUGCCUCAUUCCUCUUUAAGUUUGUUUAUCUAAUCAUCAUCAUCUUCUUCACCUCUCUUCAUGCUCUCGUUAGGCUGAAUCCUGCCAGAAAACAAAAUCACUUAUCACAGUUAUCCUGACGACACCCAGGUUUACUUCGCUCUCUCACCAAAUGACUGUGGUCCCACAGAUACUGUGUGUCAGUGCUCAGUGCAAAUCCGGAGUCGACCAAAGGAGGAUAGGUUCCCCAUUUGAGUCUUGGUUCCUCUCAAGGUUUCUUCCUCUUGCUGUUGGGAGUUUUUCCUUGCCACUGUCGCCCUCGGCUUGCUCAUUUAGGGCUCGGACCCGGAUUUUCUCUAAAGCUGCUUUGUGACGCUCGUAAAAAGUGCUCUAGAAAUAAAUCUUGAAUUGAAUUAAAAGAUCUGUCAACAUUUCCUCCAGCUAAAUAAAGACAGGAGUAAUAUUAUUUGGCAAUGAGGAGGAAAGACUGAAGGUCAGUGAGCACUUCAGAGCUCCAAUGAUUAAAGACCAAGUCAGAAACCUGGGUGUACUAACGGAUCCAAAUUAAACCUUAAAUCCAGCCUGAAAUUUUAGUCCAGAUCUGAAUUUUGGCUAAGAACCUUCUGUCCAAGCUCAAUGUGACCUGAACCACAUAAGUUUACAGUCUAAAAUUGAUCCCACUCCAACAGAAUUCUGCCCAAAACUGACCCAAAGUGGCCAAUCAUCACACAACGUACCAAAACUAAAACUCUAAAACUCUCUUAAAACUCUAUUUCUUUGAAUAGAAUGUAUUCAACAUAAAGCAGAAACAGGUUUGGCCAAAAUAUGAAACAUAAACGUCUGUUUAGCUGCAGUAAACCAGCUCGCCUGCUGCUCGAAGCUGGAAACAGCUGCCAGAAGAUCUCUGAUCUGCCCCUCAUUUGUCCAUCUUUGAACUCUUCUUUUUAUUUUGUGUGUCUUUCACACUUUCUGUUUAGACUUUGCACUUCUUUUUAGUUCCUUUUAUUUUUUUAUUUCCCCCUUAUUUUAUUGUGCUGUUUUUAUUUUGCUUUUAUUUAUGUAAAGCACUUUGAACUGCCCUUCUUAAAAUAAACUUGUAAUAAAUAAACAUGA